CGGAAGUGAAAACACGAAGAUGCUUGUUGAUGUCGUAAAAACAGCUUUCACUGCUCUUUUCCUUCCAUCCGCUUGACAGUCAGAAGUCUAAACAGUAGACUAUCGAAUUACAGCCUCUCGGAAGUUGCUGAUGUGGCAUGUACGAACACAAGUCAGCCUCUUUUAACCCUCUUUCUACUUCGCAUCAUUCUUAGUUCCACGUUUACCAUUUUCACUCGCGCACUUUAUCGUGUGGCACCAAACGAAAUAUAUUUUCCCUUCGUUUAUUGUUUUUUUAUACACAACAAGCUAUCGUAAUCUCCGAUGUAAGUUCUUUUAUCGCUAAUCAUGAAGAAAUACUUGUUAAUUCUUUGCGCACUUUUGGAUCUUUAUAUGGUAGCCUGUCAAGAACUCUUAAUAGUAACAAUUGCUACCAAGGAGACUGAUGGGUUUAGAAGAUUUAUGAAGUCAUGUAACAAGUACAAGUUGAAAGUGUCGGUUGUUGGUAUGGGCACGAAAUGGGAGGGUGGUGACAUGGACAUGGGUGUGGGUGGUGGACAUAAGAUAAAUCUUUUGAAGGAUGAAUUGAAACAAUAUUCUGACAGAAAAGACUUAAUUAUCAUGUUUACUGACAGCUAUGAUGUUGUCUUUACAAAUGGCUCAGAAGAUAUUUUGAGUAAAUAUAAGAAACUAGGAUCUCGUGUAGUAUUUGCUGCUGAAGGGUUCUGCUGGCCUGAUCACACACUUGCUAAACAAUAUCCUGCUGUUUCUGGAGCUGAGAAGCGCUUCUUAAAUUCUGGAGGUUUUAUGGGUGUUGCCAAGGACAUCCAUGAGAUUGUCACCUUUAAACCUAUUGGAAAUAAAGAGGAUGAUCAACUUUACUAUACCAAAAUAUUCCUCAACAAAGAACUACGUACACGAUGGGACAUUAAAUUGGAUACGAAAUCAGCGAUAUUCCAAAACUUAAAUGGAGCUCUUGGUGAGAUUAUGGUGAAAUUUAAAGGGGCUCACAGUUUCCUGUAUAAUGUCAAAACUAGACAAACACCAACUGUUGUACAUGGAAAUGGACCAGUCAAGGAAGAAUUCAGUCGAAUUGCCAAUUAUCUUGGAGAUGGUUGGACAAAAACUGGUGGUUGUUUUUCCUGUAAGGAAGAUGUGCUCAGCCUAUCUUCUGUAAAGAUUUCUGAUUAUCCAAAAGUAAUGAUUGCAGUUUUUAUACAUCACAAUAUUCCAUUUAUGAGAGAAUUCUUUGAUAAAGUUUACAAGUUGGAUUAUCCAUCGAAACGCAUUGAUUUAUACAUCCAUAACAAAAUGGAAUAUCACCAUGAGGAAGUGAAAUCAUUUAUUAAAGAUGCUGAAGACAGCUACAAUUCUUUGCAUUACAUAACUCCAGAAAACAAUGUUGAUGAAGCAACGAGCAGGAAUUGGGCUGUUGAGUCCUGUAUACAGAAGUCAUGUCGUUAUCUUCUCUCACUUGAUGCUACAGCUCAUCUUGACAACCCCAAAGCAUUACGACUGCUCAUUGAACAGAACAGAAGUGUUUUAGCUCCUAUGGUAGCUCGCCCUGGUAAGUUCUGGAGUAACUUCUGGGGAGCAAUUAGUAAUGAUGGUUAUUAUGCUCGUUCAGAAGAUUAUCUGGACAUUGUGGACAGUACAAGACGUGGGCUUUGGGUUGUUCCAUACUUAUCAGAAGUUUAUUUGAUUCAUCACCAUCUGCUACCUGAUUUGAAAACUGCUUAUAUCAAUGGUAAAUUAGACCCAGACAUGGCAUUUUCCAAAACUCUUCGAGAUCAGGGCAGAUUGAUGUAUGUGACAAAUAUGAAAUAUUUUGGCCACUUAAUUAAUUAUGAUAAUUUUGAUAUCAAUAAAAAAUACAGCGAACUCUGGCAGAUAUAUGAUAAUCCAAUUGACUGGGAAGAUAGAUAUAUCCAUGAAAAUUACACAGACGUCUUUCAAAAUGAUGCAGUUGCUCACCAACCUUGUCCUGAUGUAUUUUGGUUCCCUGUUGUUAGUGAUGAAUUUUGCAACGAAUUCAUUGCAGUGAAUGAGAAUUAUGGCAAGUGGUCCAGUGGUCAAAAUGACGAUCCACGUUUGAAUGGUGGAUAUGAAAAUGUCCCAACAAUUGAUAUUCAUAUGAAUCAAAUAGGGUAUGAGAAAGAAUGGCUUCAUUUCUUGCACAAGUAUAUCACACCUCUUCAGAAGAAGGUCUUUGAAGGUUAUCAAAAUGAGCCACCUCAAGCUAUUAUGAAUUUCAUUGUCCGAUACAAACCUGAUGAACAGCCACUAUUGCGACCCCAUCAUGACUCAUCGACAUUCACCAUUAAUAUUGCCCUCAAUACACGAGAUGUUGAUUAUGAGGGAGGUGGUGUUCACUUUAUUCGUUACAAAUGUAAAGUUCUGGACACAAAGAAGGGUUGGCUGUUAAUGCAUCCUGGACGUCUAACACAUUUCCACGAAGGACUGAGAACGACAAAAGGCUCUCGUUACAUCAUGAUCUCUUUUGUUGAUCCUUAAAUAGUAAAAGAAAAAAAAGUUACAUGGAUUUUUUUUUUCUUUUCCUGGACAGAUAGAACUCUAUUGUGAUGUUAUCACAGAGUUUGCCUGGCUACCUUCACAUCCGUCCAAAAUUAUUGCAUUCAAAACCCCCACCUCUUUUAUAAUAUUUACUGCAUUUAUUUUGAGUUCUUUUCUAACUUUGUACCAAAGCUUUUAUCGGAUAUUAAUCUCAAACAAACAUUUUUAAUAUAUAAAAUUUCAGAAAUAUCUUAUUUUUUUUAACUUGCUCAAAAUAGUUUUUAAACCUAUUAGCAGCAAUCAAAACCCACCUGACAUGCUCAACAAUGAAGACAAUUUGGUGUCUUAUAUUCUAUAUAUCCACAGUUAAACUGCUUCUUUCGGUGAACAAGAGGAUUAUUUGAACCACUGAUUUUAUUUACAAUUUCCAUUUGUUUCAAAUGUAUAGACUUGCAAAUUUGCAAAUGUCUUUAUUCAAUUCAAGCUUGCUGUUUAUCAAUUCUAAAUUGGUUUAUAUGUAUAUUUUUUUAUUUUUAAAAACGUGAUUGUAAUCUUGAAGUUAUUGAUGGUAACUAAUACAAGAACAAGCUCCCUAUCUUCUACAAACUGCUAUAUUAAACUACCAAGCAAAAGCUAAUGAUUAAUUGUUAACUUGUUUUUUAGAUUCUAUUAUUAUUUUGAGAAAACCUUAUCAUUUCUGAGUCUAUAAUUUUGUUGUGAACUUCAAACCACUCCAGAAGUUACUUUUCUUAUCAUUUUAGAAGUGUUGGCUAUAAGAAUUUAGCUGAUCAUUCAAACACUAAUUUUUGAGGCAAUACUUUUGGAAGGCAAACUUUGUGUAUUGAUUCAACAAUCAAUAAAUCUUCACAAUAUUUUACUCUGUAUAUUACAGUAAAAAUUAUAUAACAAUCUUUUUUUUUUUGUUUACAUUUACAACAUGGGUAUUUCCCCAUCCCUUGUUCAUAUUUAAUUUAAAAAAUUUUUUUUUUUUUUUUUACAUAAAUCUAAGGUGUUAGCAAGCAGAUUGUUAUUUAAAAAAAAAUCCAUCAACAAAAGAUAUUUAAAUUAGGAUAUUUACUACUUUUGUACUAAAUUAGUGAUGAAGUUAAGCUUCAUCAAUGAUCACUGCUUACAAUCAAAUGUAUUUGACUUGUUUUUGAGGAGAGAAUUUUUAUAACAUUAUCUUAUUGAUAGAGAUUUCUCUAGAAAAUGGUAAACAUCAAAAUGGCUCAAUUUCAGGCACUUGCCAAUACAUCUUUUCUACUGUCUUCCAAUGAACUACCAGCGAAUUAAAGAAAUAAAAUUAAAAAACAACCCCCACACUGCUAUACAUAUAGAAUAUCAAUUUCAUAAGGUGUUUUUUAAAGAGAUGUAAGAACAAUAUUUCUAACAUAUUUUGUAAUAGAUAAAAUAGGAAAAAAAAAAAAAAAAAUUAACAUCAGACCAGCCAUUUGUUUUUCAUGUCAUUGCAAUAAAAUGAUGUUUUCUUGAAACCUAUGAAUUUUUGUUUUACUCAGACUUUUCACAGGAUCAAGGAAACUAAUAAUGGUCUUUAACAGCCAACAUCAGUAAAUGUUUGUUAAAAAUAAAAUAGGUUUGAGUGCUCUGAGAAGGUGGAAAAUUCUAACAUUAUGAGCAGAAUCGUACUUUAGAAAAAAAAGUGUGCUGAAAGAUUUCUUCAACUUAAAUGGAUACACUCCCAACACAAUUAUCUGCCCAACAUCAGAGCCAAGCUUUUCUCAUGGCAAAUAAACUUGUUUUUAACUAAUUUUCAUUUCAA
rnacentral:misc_RNA from 1 species